rnacentral:lncRNA from 1 species
UUAUAUAAUCUGUAUCAAAGACAGCUCGUUGACAAUAAGAAAUAAAAUAACUGAUACAUGCCACAUAAACAUGUUCAAAGACGCUAGACACAAAAGAACACGUGUGAUUCAAUUCGUAUAGACUCUCCUGUGGGGAUGGGAAGUGGAUUAGUGGCUGGGAGGAGAGUUGACAGCUGUUGGGCAGAGGGUUUAGUCUGAGGAGGAAGGAAACCAUCUAGAAUUAGAUUGUGGGAAUGCAGUAAAUAAGGUUGAAAUGGGUCAAGGUUACGACGUGUAAGUUACGUCUCGGUGAAGCUGUUUCAAACACUGGCUCUUGUCUGGGGAGGCCUCUGCCCUGAGUGACUGUGGUGACAGAAUACUGAGGUCGCCGUGGAGACCAAAUAUUAUGCUCGCAUGAUAAUGGAUUUCAGCAUUGCCUUUUUUCCCCCCUCAGAUAUUUUAAUGAAUUCUUAUGAAAUGCAUAGAAGAGAUAAAUAGAAUUCUUUAGCAGGACCUGUGUUAUUCACAUUUCAACAGGAAAAAAAAUAUUUCCUCUUCUAGAAUUUUGAGUGGGUGGCAUUUUAUUUUCGUGAUCAAAGAACGGAGUCUAUGGUUCUCAUGUAUAGAAUUGAAGGAUUUUACUCCUGAGGACAAGAGGGGGUGGUGGGACAGACUUCGACCUCGGGAUCUAAAGACUGUCAUGGGAGACGGUCAGCCUCGUGGAUGACCAGAGGCAGAUUCUUUGUCAACCUCCAGACUUUUUAGGCGGAACCUUAGGAAUCUGCCUCUCUCAGGCUCCUGCCUCUCCAAGUACACGUGAUAAGUGGCGUCCGUUCUGUACCCGGCGGCCAAAGCAGCGGCUGCCUCUAGGAGGACGGUGGAGCCAAUGCAGGUUGCUGCCGGGGUGCUGAGUCCCAUGGGACCUUCCUCUAGAUGCGCUUCCUUCCUGGGACACGUGUCCUCCCACGUGUGUCUGGGACGGUGCGACAGAUUUGCAGGCCUUCCUGUGGGAAACGUAGCUCCCCGCGCCAACAUUUUUCCUCCUUUCUUUUUGACUUUUUAUUUGGAAAUAAUUGUGGAAGCCGUAAAACAAGUACAAAGCGAUCCGAGUGCCUUCACCGGGUCUCCCCCUGUGGCAGUAACUCAUAGAGCUACAGUGGAAACCAGCCAGGUGACGGACGCCUUGUGCGGGGGUGGUGUCAUGCCAUUUUAUCACCUGCAGAGGUUCCCAGACCACGACUGCGGUCAAGCCCCAGAGCCCUUCCAGCCCGGCAAAGUCUCCCUGCUGCCGCCGCCCCUUGUCCUCCCCACAGCCUCCACCCACCUUCCGUGGCAGCCACCAACCUGUCCUUCAGCCAUAGAAUCUACCGCCUCCAGGAUGUUAAAUAAUCACACAGCCGAUCAGCUUCUCUCUCUCUCUCUUUUUUUUAAACCACCCCGAAGCUUAUGGAAUUCAUGGGCCCGGGAUCUGAUCCCAGCCGAAGUUGCGGCCUAUGCUGUGGCUGCAGCAGCGACAAACCCUUAACGCGCUGUGCUGGGCCUGGGGUAGAACCUGCUUCCCAGAGCUGCAGAGACGCCACCGAGACCAUUACGUCACAGCGGGAAUUCCUAGGUCAGCUUCUUUUACUCAGAUGAUUCAUCCAAGUUGUGUUUCUCAAUAGUUCCUUUCUUCUUAAUAUUUAGUAGUAUUUCAUGGUAUGGAUGCCCCCAGGUGGUUUAAUCAUUCGCUUAUUGAAAGACUGUUGUCUCUUUCCAUUUGAGGGAUAUUUUAUCAACGGGAUCUUUUAAUCAGGAAAGUUUUAGGAGUUCCCUGGUGGCUCAGGGGGUUAAGGAUUUGGUUUUGUUACUGCUGUGGUUUAGGUUUGAUCCCUGCCCUGAAACUUCUUCAUGCUGUGGUACAGCCAAAAAUAAAUAAAUAAAUGACAUGGUUUGUUUUGUUUUUUGUUUUUUGUUUUUUUUGUUGUUGUUUUUGUCUUUUUGGGGCCGCACCCAAGGCAUAUGGAGGUUCCCAGGCUAGGCGUCUAAUCAGAGCUGUUGCUGGUGGCCUACGCCAGAGCCACAGCCACGCCAGAUCCGAGCCGCAUCUGCAACCUACACCACAGCUCAGGGCAACACUGGAUCCUUAGCCCACUGAGCAAGGCCGGGAAUCGAACCCUCAACCUCAUGGUUCCCAGUCGGAUUUGUUUCUGCUGUGCCACAAUGGGAACCCCCCAAGAAGGAAAAUUUUAAGCCAAUGUGUUUGAAACCUAGGACACCAAAGUGAGAAACUACUACAAAUGUUCGGAAUAAAAAGUAUACUUUGUCGUUAUUGACUUUUGACAGGAAACCUUUGAAUGCCAGCACCUCGUCCCCAGUGCCUUCCUCAUGCACCCCUCUACGUCAUCAUUCUCCAUGCAGACCAGAAUCACAACACCUACAAAAUUAGAGGGUACCUUCUUGCUAAAAUCCUCUAGAGUAGGACAUAUGUAUUCAUUCAUCUUUUACUGAACUAUUUGUAAUGUGCCUUUUGAUACUGAAACCUCUUCCUGAGAUGGGAACAAAGUCUGUGCCUUCAGGGAAAUUACGCAUUCUCCGGGGGAGACAGAGUCCUAACUAGUAAUUAGAAGAUUAUUUAGCAAUAAUUUUCAUCUGGGCCAUGAAGCACCAGCUGAGGCUGUGAAAGCACCAACGGCACAAUCCUUCCUCUGGGAGACCCACAAAGACUUCCCAGAGGAGAUGGACUCACACAGCGGGAGCAGUAAGGGACCAGCAUGGGGCAGAGGCGUUCAGCACGCCGUUUUUGGUCAUUACUUGAUAAUCACAUCCGUGCCCCUGAGAAGUAUGCAUUUUAGCAGGGGAUACAAAUUGUAAGUUAUAUUGACUCAAUGAUACAUGGUCUAGGAAAAAGACCCACAAAUUUCUGUGGUUCUCCGGGACAUGUAGAUUUUUUUUUCUAAACAAUUUGCUAUAUAAGUAAUACAUGUUGACCUUUUCAGCUUUAGUAAUGAACAUAUUUUGCUAGUUUAUUAAUGUCAAGACUUUACUGAGCACACGUGCAGACCGGGCACGCAUGGGGGCUUCUAGAUUCCUUGAAAACACAGAAGCUUUUCAAAGCCUUUAUUCCUUGAGCUAUGCCCUUCUUUCUUCCCAGGAUUUUUGGUCUUUCUAUUGCCUGACCUAAUGGUUAUCCUUUAUUGCAGGUGGCAGCAGCUAAUACAUUUGCCUUUAAAUGUUUUCGGUAAAUGUCACCCAAGAAGUUGUGUGCAACCCUUAAAGAGAUCCUUCAAGGAGCUACCAUAGGGGUCGAGUGCAGAACCACAGUUCUCUGAGAAUAAGGUCAGUAUUGGGCCCUCUGGUACCAGUAACCUGCACCAGGAAACUGGGCUUCUGGCCUCAAGUCUGCAGUUGUGUUGGGGUGUGGGGGGGGAGGUAGCAAGGUAAGUUAAAAUGCAACAGAGGAGUUCCCUCAUGGCUCAGUGGGUCAAGGAUCCCACUGCAGAGGCUUAGGUCACUGUGGGACUGUGAGUUCCAUCCCUGGCCUGGCGCAGUGGGUUGAGGAUCCAUGGUUACCGCAGCUGGGACGUAGGUCACAGAUGUGCCUUGGAUUUGACCUCUGGCCCCUGGAACUUCUGCAUGCCAUGGCUGUGGCCAAAAAAAAGAAAAAAUAAAGCCAUAGAGCUCUUUUGCCAAAAUUUAGCUUUUUUUUUUUUCCUUUGUUAAGCUUUCCACUUGUUACUGUUAGUUUUAAAAAGUAGAUUUUAGGGUUCUGAACAAGGCCACCACGAUCUUUGUUGCCGGGUCUUCACUGCUGUUGUGAGUUUGGGGUUCUCUGCUCUGCUGUUUGCACUGAUUUCUGUCCAAGGCGGGGGAGUGGGUGACGUGGGUGUGAUAUUACUGGUCCCCAUCAAUAAGCAGCAUCCAGUCCAGACCCCUUCAGGUUUGGCUGCGGGUCUUCAGAGUUGGAAGCUGCUAAUCUGCCCCUUUCGUGGGACCACCUUGGAAGUAGGGGUGCAGCUUCCCACUCAGGUGCUAGCCCGACAAAAGGCUUUUCAUCUGCCCCGAGUGCUCUCAGUUCUUUCGGAAUAGGUAAAUCCAGGACAGCCUGGCCCUGCGACACGUGGUGGUCCUCUUCGGCGUGUCCGACCCCCAAAGGCCAGCACUGGACGGGGGCCCUGGGAUGGAGGUUUACGUGACCAGGGCAGAAAAUCAGCAAAGUGUCCACUCUUCCUUUCACCUGGACUCUUUUGAAGACCCCUCCCUGUUGACAUCCUGCAAACCCCGCUCACGCUUCCCCUGCCUCGGGCAUUUGGUGAGAGAAUCGGGGAUGGCUUUCCACUCUCUCUCAGGCACAGAGGGUCAGAUCAGUGCGGCCCGGGAGGCAGAGGUCGGCCAGCUAGCGUCUGUGCCAAGUGGGCGCCGCCAGGUGCAGAAAUCCGUGUGAAUUUGGUCUGCAUCCAGCCUCUGCCACUGGCCACUCGCUGGGAUUCUCCGCGACCUGCAGGGUGUCCGGCAGAGCCGGGCAGAGAGCCCCGAGGAGGUGGCUUUUCCUCUCUGCUGCUCGCGUCCCGGCUCCGCUUCCCCUCUCUCUGGCUGCCACUUUGGAGGAUGGUAGUCACGGGCUGGAUGGGUUGGGUGUCCGCAUGGAGCCUGAUGUUGUCCAGGGAGCUUCUCUAUGCCUUUGGAGCUCGGAUUCCGGGUUGCGAGCCUCCUCAGAGGAGGACUUGAAGUUGCCCUUGCCGAACCCAGGACACAUGAACCUAAAAUUUCAGAAGCUUCUGCACAAGUGCAUAAGAAACAUCCAUAAGGACAUUCACAGUAAGACUGAAACAGUACUUCUGCCUUUUCUGCGAGCAUUAGCUAGAUGCAAAUUCUGCCUCUCUGGCUGAAGUCACCAAGAAUUGUAGUUCUAUGCAUAAGUCAGGGAAGGGCUUAAGAACAAAUAAAGAAGAUUUUUGUGGAGCUACUCAUUCCCUUUUUAUUUUGGAUAAUUUUAUCAUCAGGCUGGCAAGUCACCUCUAAUAAAAUACAAACUGAAAAUAGAUUUUUUUCUUCCUUGUCUAGACUAUUUAAUUUUGUCCUCCUUUGCUGUUGUCUAGUUCCAAAAGGAGCAGCUUAGUGUGAAAUUUGUGGGAAGGAUGCUAUUCGAAGUUAAUGUUAUUAUUUAGUAACCCAGUGAAAAUCCAGCCAAAAGAAUGUCGAUAUUUCUAGAAGAUGUAAAAACUACUUAGAAAUGAAGAAUUGGAGUUCCCAUUGUGGCUCAGCCGUUAAGAACACGAUGUUGCCUCUGUUAGGAUGUGGGUUCAAUCCCUGGCCUCACUUGGUGGGUUAGGGAUCUGGAGUUCCUGCAAGCUGCAGCAUAGGUUGUAGAUGCAGCUUGGACCCAGUGUUGCUGUGGCUGUGGCCUCAGCUGCAGCUCCAAUUCCAUCCCUAGCCUCCUGGGAACAUCCACAUGCU